UACGUAGGGUGCAAGCGUUAAUCGGAAUUACUGGGCGUAAAGCGUGCGCAGGCGGUUCGGAAAGAGAGGUGUGAAAUCCCAGGGCUUAACCUUGGAACUGCACUUUUAACUCCCGAGCUAGAGUAUGUCAGAGGGGGGUGGAAUUCCGCGUGUAGCAGUGAAAUGCGUAGAUAUGCGGAGGAACACCGAUGGCGAAGGCAGCCCCCUGGGAUAAUACUGACGCUCAUGCACGAAAGCGUGGGGAGCAAACAGG
rnacentral:rRNA from 1 species